CCUCUUCCAAUCGCAAGCCGGCGCACCUAUAUAGGCAGUGCUGGCGCAAGUCAGCUAUGGCGAUAAAUGGACGAUGUAAUAACCCCAUUGGACCCGGGGGCGGUACCCGGCGCCUCCACCACAAUGCAGCUCACCUGAUAUAAGCGGGCUGCACUGCGGCGGGGGCGAAACAGGAUCGACAAGGGCGUAAAGAUCGAUCUUUUGCUCGGCAUGAUACCACCGUUAUCGGGUCAAUUGAGUAGUUGCAAAUGACAACAAAGCUCAGGGUUACGCUCUCGCUGCCUAAUGGCGGUGCGGGAAACCCACUCUAAGCCCUUAGGGUUAGCACCUUAAGGCGGGGUUCGGAGGCACCUGGCAACAGAAGCCUCCACU
rnacentral:tmRNA from 1 species